UGCGAAGGGGGGCUAGCGUUGUUCGGAAUCACUGGGCGUAAAGCGCACGUAGGCGGAUCUUUUAAGUCAGGGGGUGAAAAUCCCGAGGCUCAACCUCGGAACUGCCUUUGAUACUGGGGGAUCUCGAGUCCGGGAGAGGUGAGUGGAACUGCGAGUGUAGAGGUGAAAUUCGUAGAUAUUCGCAAGAACACCAGUGGCGAAGGCGGCUCACUGGCCCGGAACUGACGCUGAGGUGCGAAAGCGUGGGGAGCAAACAGG
rnacentral:rRNA from 1 species